rnacentral:lncRNA from 10 species
GUCAACCUAGCUAAGCGGGAACUACGUUUCCCAGAAUUCCUUGCCUGUAGGUUUCCGGGGUUAGCACACGCCACGUGACCUGAUGCGGGCUUCGUGAGGCGGAAGUGACGCAGUGUUGUCGUCUCGUAGGCUUGAAAGGUAGGUGCCCGACAUUAGGGACUGUCGCAGCCCGGGGAAUUGUCCCCAUCUGCUGGCUUACCUUGUGGGCGUGGAUCCCCUCUAACUUUCCUAAUUCCCGGGCGGCCCGCGGGCCUGCGGCAGAUUCAGCUCUCAGGACUCCACUUUCAGUUUCUUCCACUUCUGGGGCAGGCUGCUUGUCCUGCCACUCUCAGGCCCCCCACCAGACACGGCAGCAACAGCUGUUCCUAAGUGUUCAACUCGCUCCUUCCCGCAAAUGUAGAAGCUCAAAUCCCUAUAGCAAAUUCCAUAUUCUAUGUCAUUCUUAAUGCUUCCGUCUCUCUGGUUGAAUCUAGAUUGGAUACAAUCAGUGAUGCACAUUUACCAGACAGAGGAUGUGCAGCGUUUACUGUUGAUUUCUCUCUUUUCCUCCCUAUCACCUCAGUUUAGUUCCAGGAUCCACACUCCUCCACCAUAGUCAGGAGAUUCAGGGAAAGUUGGCAGGGUUCAGCUUUCAAGUUGACCCUUGAUGAACCAUGGUCAAUCCUGUUAAGAGGCGUGAAAGCCAAUCCCAGCCAAUGAGACUGGGGAGAAAUCACUGAAGAACUUGUGGAAAACAGACCCUCUGGAUAAAAGACACGUGUGGGGAAAAAGGGGCUUUUUAAUGUUAUUCUGGAUGUUUCCCAAAAGUACUGCUGCUGCCUUGCCUCCCUGACAGACACUGGCCUUAGGAUGACAUGCGGCAGGAAGGAAGGACGGAUCUGGGGUUUUUCAAGACUCACUGAGAUGCACAAGGAACCAACCCUCAAGUAGCCAACUCGUUCCUGUUUGCAUGUGUCGACUGAAAAGAAUCAAAAUAAACAAAAUAUAACUAUUUCUAAGAGGUUACAACUUGCAGGCAGGAAGCAGGCCUCUACCUGAGGCCAUAAAGCAUACUUUGAAGGAGAAAAGGUAGGUAUUUAUGCUAGGUGGAGAGGUAGGAUAUACGUAUUCUGUAGCAUACAGGAGAAGCCUAUGAAAAUUCAUGGAGGAAACUCGUUAGAGACACGCACUGGGCUUACAUAUGAAGAAUAUCCAAAAGCGGAUGACCUGUGUUCACUCUGGGGUGAAGAUUUAACAUUUAAAUGUAUUAUAAUUAGGCUGUAAAUGCAAAAAGGUGAAACAUAGGGCACAAGUUCACGAUCUGUGCAAUCUCCAGAGACCAGUCUGAUCUAGCCUGCAGCUGGCAGUCAUCUGUCAAGAAGGGGCUCUUUGUAGCCCAGAGUAGCUGUCAGGUUGGAACCAUAAAACCAAAAGGAGGGCAUCGGCGGUUAGGUGAAGAAAAGAAGUCUUUUGGCCUUUUUUCCUCUUCAAGUCAGCUUUUGAUAAGAUCUAGUAAUAAUAAGGGGAUGGGUGUGGCUGCAGGUGGGACAUGUCGGUUCUCUGUCCUGUCACAGCUAAGAACUAAGAACUUUAGAGUCUUUCAGCCAUAGAGGGUCCUGUCAUCCAUUGAAGGGAUCAGUCCAUUGGGAUUUUGCCAGUUUUAGCAUUGAUGCUGUGUCCUGGGAAACCCCUGAAUACUUAUCAUAGCAGAAGUUCAGCCACUGUAGCCCUACCUCAGGACCGCUUUUAUGGGAAAGAAUAAUUCCUUUAACUGCUUGAGCCAUUUGAGUUGUGGCUGCUUUUGGUACUUGUAAUAAAUUGAAAGCAUCUUGAAUGUUCUGGGACAGUAAAAGAAUGUGCCUUUGUUUCUGACAGCAAUUAUAAAAUCAAUUAUAUGUUUAUAUUCUAAAAAAUGUUUUGAGUAAUGCUGACAUCAUUGGAAAAGUGCAUCACUUAGAAAAUGUAUCUGUGUGUCAAUUUUGUUUGUUCAAAAUCAGUUUCAUUAAUUUGUGGGAAGAUACACCUUGUACAUUUUACCUAAUUAAAAAAAAUAUUGCCAGUUGAGUAUACUUGUGA